CGUCCAAACGUUAUUCGGUAUCACUGGGCUUAAAGCGUGCGUAGGCGGCUUGGUAGGUGAGAUGUGAAAGCCCACGGCUCAACCGUGGAAUUGCGUUUCAAACCCCCAAGCUCGAGGAAGAUAGGGGUGAUGGGAACUUAUGGUGGAGCGGUGAAAUGCGUUGAUAUCAUAGGGAACACCGGUGGCGAAAGCGCAUCACUGGAUCUUUUCUGACGCUGAGGCACGAAAGCUAGGGUAGCGAACGGGAUUAGAUACCCCGGUAGUCCUAGCCGUAAACGAUGAACACUGGGUUGAGGGGACUUCCACAUCCUCUCGGCCGUAGCGAAAGCGUUAAGUGUUCCGCCUGGGGAGUAUGGUCGCAAGGCUGAAACUCAAAGGAA
rnacentral:rRNA from 1 species